UCCUCCUUAGCUCAGUUGGUUAGAGCAUCUGACUGUUAAUCAGAGGGUCCUUGGUUCGAGCCCAAGAGGAGGAGCUA
rnacentral:tRNA from 6 species